rnacentral:misc_RNA from 1 species
AGACUCCGCAGUUUGGACUUCGAUUUCUAUGGAAUAAGACUGACUUUUCGAAAAAGAUUUUCGCAACUAAAAUCAUCCAAACUGUGAAAGAUCAAUUUAACCUACACGUUCGAUAAAGCUUAUUUCAUUGCUUGCUUUGUCAAGAAUUCGCUACGAAGUUCCCGUUUCGAUUUUAUGAUUUCUAUUUCAGGUCUGCUACAAUAUGACGUUCCAGCCGACAAUUCCACGUGGCCCUGUAUCAGCCAUGUUCUCGAGUCCAGGGCCCAUUUACUCUUUACCACCAUUAGUUGGAUAUGAUAAGCAUGACACGCGCAGCACUUAUUUAAAGGCACCAGCUUAUCAGAUAGGUAAAAGGACAGAAUUUAUUCAGCAGACCGUUACACCAGGACCAAAAUACAACUUUCAGCAUCUACCUGUAUAUCGUGAUGGCAAACUAGGCCAAGCUCACGCCUAUAUAUUUGGUAAAGCAAAAGAUUUUAAACCUUUCGAUGUACCAGGACCUGCUGCCUACCACAUCGAUUCAGGUAUCGCGAGCAGUUAUCCUGCGCCACCGAAAUACACAUUUGGAAGAACCAUUGAAGGAAAUACAAAUGACCAAACACCAGCUGCUAACGCUUAUACGCUGCCACCAGUGCUAAGCAAAACAUACGAAAGCAACAAAACGCAACCACCAGCGUACAGUAUCGGUUCAUCGACUCGAGACGCAGGCCUCGGCUAUUCUCACACACCUGGUCCAAAUUCAUAUAAAACGGUUCAUACAUCAGUGUACCUAAACAGACCUCCAGCUUAUUCUAUUCUCAAGAGAAACCAGCCUUUAUCAGCUAGCACGACAAUACCAGGACCCGCUGCACAUUAUGAAGAAUUGCAAUGGAUGCGACCGAAGAGAACGGCCGCUGCUUAUUCCUUUGGAAUCCGUCAUUCGCCAUAUGUUGCUCCAAUAUUUACUGAAUUUGACGACUAAAAUUUCAAUUAAUCUCGUCUUAUUUCCUUACUUUCACCGCCAAGCCAAGCACAGCUCUGUGCACCUUAGUUGUAGGAGCUUCGACAUGAUUAUUAAACUUUCGCCUUCGUUCAUUGUAUAUCGAUGAACAUUUCCAGUAUUAAGAAAAUAAAACAAUCCAUCCGUGAAAUUA